rnacentral:rRNA from 1 species
UGGGCGUAAGGGCUCGCAGGCGGUUUCUUAAGUCUGAUGUGAAAGCCCCCGGCUCAACCGGGGAGGGUCAUUGGAAACUGGGAAACUUGAGUGCAGAAGAGGAGAGUGGAAUUCCACGUGUAGCGGUGAAAUGCGUAGAGAUGUGGAGGAACACCAGUGGCGAAGGCGACUCUCUGGUCUGUAACUGACGCUGAGGAGCGAAAGCGUGGGGAGCGAACAGGAUUAGAUACCCUGGUAGUCCACGCCGUAAACGAUGAGUGCUAAGUGUUAGGGGGUUUCCGCCCCUUACUGCUGCAACUAACGCAUUAGGCACUCCGCCUGGGGAAUACGGUCGUGACACAGAAACUCCAAGGGAUUGACGGGGGCCUGCACAUCCGAUGGAUCUGGUGGUAUGGAUCAACACAAGCCAAAGAACCUGCUUGCGCCUUGACGGCAUCUGACAA